AAAUUGCAUCAAAAAGCCCAAAUCGUUUCGAUUUGAACCCCUGAAAGGAGUUGAUCCUAAGUUUCUAAAGAACAUGCGGUUUGCCAAGAAGCACAACAAAAAAGGGAAGAAAAGAAUUGAAGGCAAAAAAUAAACUGGAAAUCGCAGCGCUAACGCCCUGACAAGCCAACAUCUGCAGCCCUUGGACAAUGGUGGCCAAGUGGAAUAUGUAUUUUUGAAUUGUUCAUUUUGAAUAAAAUGAGUGUGUGGAAGUUGAAUCUCUUUACCUUUUCACUGAGGGUUUUCAGCAGGUUCUUGUCUUGCAGAAAAGCCACACGUGUGUUGACUUGAUCUAGUGAGCACAUCUACACUGUUCACUUGUUUACUCUUCUAAUUUCAUGCCAGGGUCCAUAAUGUUAUUAUCUUUGUUCAAGACCUGGGGUUUAAAAUAUAACGGCAGAGCAAAGCCAGUCUUGUGUGCAUGGUCAAACAUGUGUGCAUGGUCAAACAUAUCUCAAAUGCUUCAAUGAAGCACAGUGAUGGAUAUAUGAGCUCAAUCUGUUUAUCUUUCAACAAAAAAAUGGAAAAUAUGACUUUUACUUCUCUUAAAGUUGGCCUUGCAACUUGAUUUGUUACUACUAAAACACAUGUGUGACUUAAAAUGUGUGAUAUCUGAUGAUUAGCAGUCCUUGUACGCCCAUUCUUUAAGUAGUAUUGUAGUGGGGUCUACUUUACAAAUCUAGAGGAGUGCAAUCUGAAAUAUUUUGAGCUCCACAGCUCUGUAUUGCUCCACAAUAUCCAGCAGCAUUGUUUAACUAGUUCUUUAGGGGAAUCGGGAAAUUGCGGUCAAUGUUACGAAAUAUAUUUAUAUUUGUAAUAUCCUUGGCAUGAGAUUCAAUAUGCUAAGACUUCUUUGUAAUGUUCAUUGAACAUAGUUUUGCUACUUGAAGGCAAGUACACACAUUUUUGGUGUUUUAAUGGCUCGUUUACUGAGGAUCGGUCUAGUUUGAUUAUAAAAAUAAAUGGUACUGGACUUUACAAA